UACGAAGGGGGCUAGCGUUGUUCGGAAUUACUGGGCGUAAAGCGCACGUAGGCGGAUCUUUAAGUCAGGGGUGAAAUCCCAAGGCUCAACCUUGGAACUGCCUUUGAUACUGGGGAUCUCGAGUCCGGAAGAGGUGAGUGGAACUGCGAGUGUAGAGGUGAAAUUCGUAGAUAUUCGCAAGAACACCAGUGGCGAAGGCGGCUCACUGGUCCGGUACUGACGCUGAGGUGCGAAAGCGUGGGGAGCAAACAGG
rnacentral:rRNA from 1 species